rnacentral:rRNA from 1 species
AUUGAACGCUGGCGGCAUGCUUUACACAUGCAAGUCGAACGGCAGCGCGGGCCUUGGCCUGGCGGCGAGUGGCGAACGGGUGAGUAAUACAUCGGAAUGUGCCCAGUAGUGGGGGAUAGCUCGGCGAAAGCCGGGUUAAUACCGCAUACGACCUGAGGGUGAAAGCGGGGGAUCUUCGGACCUCGCGCUAUUGGAUCGGCCGAUGGCAGAUUAGCUAGUUGGUGGGGUAAAGGCCUACCAAGGCGACGAUCUGUAGCUGGUCUGAGAGGAAGACCAGCCACACUGGAACUGAGACACGGCCCAGACUCCUACGGGAGGCAGCAGUGGGGAAUUGUGGACAAUGGGCGAAAGCCUGAUCCAGCAAUGCCGCGUGUGUGAUGAAGGCCUUCGGGUUGUAAAGCACUUUUGGCGGGAACGAAAAGGACUGUGCCAAUACCACGCUUCGAUGACGGUACCAGCAGAAUAAGCACCGGCUAACUACGUG